AUGAACGCUAGCGGCAGGCUUAAUACAUGCAAGUCGAGGGGCAGCAGGGGUGUAGCAAUACACUCGCUGGCGACCGGCAAACGGGUGCGGAACACGUACGCAACUUACCCAAAACUGGGGGAUAGCCCGGGGAAACCCGGAUUAAUACCUCGUAACACUAUGAAGUGGCAUCACUUUAUGGUUAUAGCUCCGGCGGUUUUGGAUGGGCGUGCGCCCUGAUUAGGUAGUUGGCAGGGGGGGUAACGGCCUACCAAGCCUACGAUCAGUAACUGGUGUGAGAGCACACGACCAGUCACACGGGCACUGAGACACGGGCCCGACUCCUACGGGAGGCAGCAGUAAGGAAAUAUUGGUCAGUGGACGCAAGUCUGAACCAGCCAUGCCGCGUGAAGGAUGAUGAAGGUCCUCUGGAUUGUAAACUUCUUUUAUAUGGGACGAAAUCUCUUAUUCUUAAGAGUCUGACGGUAUACCAUAGGAAUAAGCACCGGCUAACUCCGUGCCAGCAGCCGCGGUUUAAUACGGAGGGUGCAAGCGUUAUCCGGAUCACUGGGUUUAAAGGGUGGUCGUAGGAGGGCAGGGAAGUCAGUGGUGAAAUCUCGGGGCUUAACUCCGAACUGCCGUUGAUACUCUCUGUCUUGAAUCCCGUGGAGGUGAGCGGAAUAUGUCAUGUAGCGGUGAAUUGAUGAAAUGCUUAGAUAUGACAUAGAACACCAAUUGCGAAGGCAGCUCGCUACACGAAGAUUGACUCUGAGGCACGAAAGCGUGGGGAUCAAACAGGAUUAGAUACCCUGGUAGUCCACGCCCUAAACGAUGGAUACUCGACAUACGCGAUACACUGUGUGUGUCUGAGCGAAAGCAUUAAGUAUCCCACCUGGGAGGUACGACCGCAAGGUUGAAACUCAAAGGAAUUGGCGGGGGUCCGCACAAGCGGUGGAGCAUGUGGGUUUAAUUCGAUGAUACGCGAGGAACCUUACCUGGGCUAGAAUGCUACUGGACCGGCUGUGUGAAAGCAGCUUUCCCCGCAAGGGGCCGGUAAGUAAGGUGCUGCAUGGCUGUCGUCAGCUCGGUGCCGUGAGGUGUUGGGUUAAGUCCCGCAACGAGCGGCAAACCCCCAUCACUAGUUGCCAUCAGGUAACGCUGGGAACUCUAGUGAAACUGCCGUCGUAAGACGUGAGGAAGGAGGGGAUGAUGUCAAGUCAUCAUGGCCUUUAUGCCCAGGGCUACACACGUGCUACAAUGGGGGCGUACAAAGGGCUGCCCUUAGCGAUAAGGAGCCAAUCCCAAAAAACGCCUCUCAGUUCAGAUCGCAGUCUGCAACUCGACUGCGUGAAGCUGGAAUCGCUAGUAAUCGUAUAUCAGCAAUGAUACGGUGAAUACGUUCCCGGACCUUGCACACACCGCCCGUCAAGCCAUGGAAGCUGGGUGUACCUAAAGUCGGUAACCGCAAGGAGCCGCCUAGGGUAAAGCUAGUAACUGGGGCU
rnacentral:rRNA from 1 species